AUUGAACGCUGGCGGCAGGCUUAACACAUGCAAGUCGAGCGAGCGGCGGACGUGUGAGUAAUGUCUGGGAAACUGCCUGAUGGCGGGGGAUAACUACUGGAACCGGUAGCUAAUACCGCAUACCAUCAGAUGUGCCCAGAUGGGAUUAGCUAGUAGGUGGGGUAAUGGCUCACCUAGGCGACGAUCCCUAGCUGGUCUUAGAGGUUGACCAGCCACACUGGAAAUGAGACACGGUCCAGCCUCCUACGGGAGGCAGCAGUGGGGAAUAUUGCAAGAGGGGCGCAAGCCUGAUUCAGCCAUUCCGCGUGUGUUAAGAAGGCCUUCGGGUUGUAAAGCACUUUCAGCGAGGAGGCGUUACUCGCAGAAGAAGCACCGGCUAACUCCGUGCCAGCCGCCGCGGUAAUUC
rnacentral:rRNA from 1 species